GGUUCUAUAGUAAAAUGAAAAAAUAAUAUUAGAUUGCAAAUCUAAAGAUGUGGUUAAACACUAGAACUU
rnacentral:tRNA from 1 species